GACGAACGCUGGCGGCGUGCUUAACACAUGCAAGUCGAACGGACAGGCCCUGCUUUUGUUGGGUGCUCGAGUGGCGAACGCGUGAGUAACACGUGAGUAACCUGCCCUUGACUUUGGGAUAACUUCAGGAAACUGGGGCUAAUACCCGAUAGGAGCUCCUGCUGCGUGUGGUGGGUUGGAAAGAUUCGGCGGUUGGGUAUCGACUCGCGGCUUAUCCGCUUGUUGGUGUGGUAGUUGCUUACCAAGGGUUUGACGGGUAGCCGGCCUGAGAAGGUGACAGGCGACACUGGGACUGAGGGACGGCACAGACUGGUACGGGAGGGAGCAGUGGGGAAUAUUGCACAAUGGGCGGAAGGCGGAUGAAGCAAGGCCGCGUGCGGGAUGACGGCCUUCGGGUUGAAAACCGCUUUCGCCUGUGACGAAGCGUGAGUGACGGUAAUGGGUAAAGAAGCACCGGCUAACUACGUG
rnacentral:rRNA from 1 species